rnacentral:rRNA from 1 species
ACAAGCGGUGGAUGAUGUGGAUUAAUUCGAUGCAACGCGAAAAACCUUACCUACCCUUGACAUGUCUGGAACCUUGCUGAGAGGCGAGGGUGCCUUCGGGAGCCAGAACACAGGUGCUGCAUGGCUGUCGUCAGCUCGUGUCGUGAGAUGUUGGGUUAAGUCCCGCAACGAGCGCAACCCUUGUCAUUAGUUGCCAUCAUUUAGUUGGGCACUCUAAUGAGACUGCCGGUGACAAACCGGAGGAAGGUGGGGAUGACGUCAAGUCCUCAUGGCCCUUAUAGGUGGGGCUACACACGUCAUACAAUGGCUGGUACAAAGGGUUGCCAACCCGCGAGGGGGAGCCAAUCCCAUAAAGCCAGUCGUAGUCCGGAUCGUAGUCUGCAACUCGACUACGUGAAGUCGGAAUCGCUAGUAAUCGCAGGUCAGCAUACUGCGGUCGAAUACGUUCCCGGGCCUU